rnacentral:rRNA from 1 species
UGGGGAAUAUUGGACAAUGGGCGAAAGCCUGAUCCAGCCAUGCCGCGUGUGUGAAGAAGGUCUUCGGAUUGUAAAGCACUUUAAGUUGGGAGGAAGGGUUGUAGAUUAAUACUCUGCAAUUUUGACGUUACCGACAGAAUAAGCACCGGCUAACUCUGUGCCAGCAGCCGCGGUAAUACAGAGGGUGCAAGCGUUAAUCGGAAUUACUGGGCGUAAAGCGCGCGUAGGUGGUUUGUUAAGUUGGAUGUGAAAGCCCCGGGCUCAACCUGGGAACUGCAUCCAAAACUGGCAAGCUAGAGUACGGUAGAGGGUGGUGGAAUUUCCUGUGUAGCGGUGAAAUGCGUAGAUAUAGGAAGGAACACCAGUGGCGAAGGCGACCACCUGGACUAAUACUGACACUGAGGUGCGAAAGCGUGGGGAGCAAACA